GGGUAGCUAAGUAUAGCAUCCAAGUCAUCCAACAAUUAGAGUCACAAAAUGGAGAAUCACUGUCCACCGACAUAGUUCAUAUUCAGCUUUUUUCCAGUGGUAGCAGAACAACUAUUUGAAUUGUAACAAGAAAAACCUAUCUUUAAUUUAUUGCAAGUCAUCAAGGUCUGUACAAAUACGAUAGGAGUUUAUGAAAACUCACUAUAUAUUGGUUAAAGACAUACUGCAUAAGAACAUAUGAAAUAAAUAACACACCCUAAUAAGAACGGAAAUUAAGUCAGCAUUGAAUCAGCAGUCAAUUUGGUCUCCACCUGAAUCAACAAACGGAAAACUGGAGCAAUCCAGUAACCUUCAGCUUAAUCCCAUUUCCUUCCUAGAUAGAAGACAUCAGAUGCUUGACUUUCAUCCAUCAUGAGAUGAAUCUCAAAUUUGUCUCAGAACUUUCAGGUAUUUGCAGAUAAACUGAUCAGAACUCAUAAAGAUAGCAGAAGAUUUCUGUUCAUAUUUCUUUGACAACAGGACUGGCAUUAUUUCCAACACUUUCUUCUAUCACCCAAGAGCAGUCCAAGAUCAUUCAGAGAUUCAGUGCUAGACAUCAAAAUACCAGGCCAUGACUAGAUUUAACAGUGUGGCCAUAAAGCAGAAAAAUUAAUCAUCAAUUUUCAAGGACAACUCUUCAAGUUUAUUUUGAGUUUGCACCUGUCCCAUUCAUAAACUUAGCAUUAAGAAUGCCGUUAUAUAUAAAACAUAAGCAGGAAUGUUUGAAAAUAUGACAAGAACGUCGAUACAACACUAUUUGAUGGACCGACUGAUAUGCUAAUGCACAAUCAUAAUCAAGCCAAAAAUUUGUGGGUCUGCACAUCACUAAACUAACGGCAACACUACAAAGCACAUACUGGUACAAACCAAUGGGAAAUCUAGUGUACUCAAAUUGCAACUGAAAAUAAAAUUAAAUACUCAGUAUAAGCAUGUAAAAUUAAGAUAACCAUGACCCAGGAACAUCUGCACUCUUAUCAUCCAACUAAAGCAUUUUAAGUUCUGGAUUUUGGUGACAGAAGUUUUAACUUUGCCAUGGAAAAUCUAAUAAACCAAGCAUGAGGCAAUAUUUAACAGAGUCAGGGAAUCAAUGGUAAAUUGAAUAAAGUAAAAGUAGAAAAUGACAAAGGAAACUUGACAAUUAGUGCUUAAGUGUUGACUUGAAAUUUUGACUAUUCUCUACAUAAAGACAGAGGCUUGAUUGUGAAAUCAUAUGGAUAACCCAAGCAGUCUGAACAAAAAUGAUGCAUAUGAUUCUGAUGGAUACUUGGAUUAGGGUUUUGUUGAGGAAACCAAAAUUGGACACACAGUAGGGUGAAUUUUGGGAGCCUCCUGAUCCAACCAUGGGAAGUAGAUCCAUGAAGGCUAAAGGUUACAAGAAAUGAUUGGUGGUGGGGUCACCGUUCUUAAUAAAAAAAUAUAGCUACUUCACCAGCUUUCCCUUCAGAGGAUUCAUGCCCCAAGAAUGACCUAUCUUGAUGGUUUGCCUCAAAUGGGUUUGAUAUGAAUUAUGCAGAUUAGGGAAAGCUGAAGAAAGAUGGGCCUGGACCUGGUAGAAUGCAGAGGAAGAAAUGAAGAAAGAGAGAGACCUAGCAGGCGCUUCUAAUAGCAAGGAGGAAGGUCCUAGAAGGAGGGAUGAGUUGGAGCUAGCUAGCCGGUAACUGAAUGCCCAAAGAAAUAGCAUGUGCAGGAAAGAAAAUUAUAUAUGGUAAUAAACAAUAGAAUAGGAGCAUGCUUGAGUGAUCUCUUAUUGUAACGGCAUACUUGCUGGGCCAGAACAGCUCUGUUUAGCAAUUCCCUUUACAUUUUCUCUCUUUAAUUUCUCUUUUCAAACCCCCAACUCUAUCAAAUUGGUCUGACUUGCCGGAUCAAAAAUCAGAAUGGAAAACAGAGUGGAGAGGAUAAGAGGAGAAUUGCAAACUUAGAAGAGCCGUUGGAGACCAUGCGACAAGAACAGAAUCAACGAUUUAACAAGUUAGAAGCAAUAGCCAUCUCAUUCAAGGAAACCAGAAACAAAAAAAAAAUUAGAAAAGUUAGAUACAAUUGAAAGUAUGUUAAUCACUUUGGUGAAAGGAAGAAGGUUGAGAGUAAUAACCAGGGACAUACCAUGACUCCAACGCGGGCAUUUCAGAGGACCCAUCGAAUCAGAGGCACCCAACUCUUCCAGUAAUUGCCGAAGAGCCCCAGCUAACACCCAAAAAAAUUGAAUUACCCAGCUUCAAUGAUGAAGGCAUUGAUGAUUGCCCAGCCCUUGACAAUCAACGCUUUGUUGCACAUUGCACAACAGUGGCCAAGGAAGUUCCAUCGGCCUUAGCUUGCAUGGAGGGAGCCUCUCUUCAUUGGGUUCACAAGGUUCAACAACAAAAUUCUCAACUCAUUUGGGAAUAGUUCAUGUUAGAGACCCAUGGUCUAUGUCAAAGGAAAGAGGUGGAAGCAAGAAUAGAGAGAGAGUUUCAGACCAAAAUCAGGGCCAGAGAACUUUCACGUUGUUUCUCUGUUAACACAAUGGGGAAGAAGAUAAAAUGGGGUGCUAGGCUUGGACUGAACAUAGCAUUAGGAUAAGCAGGUCCAACUCCACCAACGGGCCCAAUUCUUGGACCUGGCCCAUUUGAACAACCGAAAUUACUGUACCACCAGAUCAGAUCACCUAAGCAAAAUAUCAGUCCGAAUCAGUUUAAAAGCCCGCCCCCCAAGCUUCCAGAUGAAGACUGGACAAGGUUUAAAGUCCAACUCAGCCUAAAUGGAACUACCCUGCCUCCUCCAUCAACAGCAGAACAAAAUAUAUAUUCUAGGCAUCACAUGUUUCUUCAUUUCAAUAGGAGAAGAGCACUGCAAUUCAUUAUCAUUUCUGCUAUAGGAAGGGAGGUAAUGGAGCUUGGAGUCAUUCAGAUAAUAUAUGCUUCCAACAGUGAAAUGGUUGCAAGUACUUUUGUUUACAUAAUCAUGAC
rnacentral:misc_RNA from 1 species